CCCCUAGAUGUUCUGGGCCGCACGCGCGCUACACUGAACAGUUCAACAAGUCUUAACCUUGGCCGAUAGGUCUGGGUAAUCUUUGAACGCUGUUCGUGAUUGGGAUAGACCUUUGCAAUUAUGGGUCUUCAACGAGGAAUUCCUAGUAAACGCAAGUCAUCAGCUUGCAUUGAUUACGUCCCUGCCCUUUGUACACACCGCCCGUCGCACCUACCGAUUGAAUGGUCCGGUGAAAUCUCGGGACGGCGGCUUGGUCGCUUGCGUCCGACUGCUGAAACUUGAUUAAACCAUAUCAUUUAGAGGAAGGUGANGUCGUGACA
rnacentral:rRNA from 1 species